UUCUUUGCUUCCAGCACUUCCAACUACAUAGCAACCCAUCAGCUUAGCAAACUGGCCCACAAGCUGACCCACAGCUCCCGAUGCUGCUGACACAUAAACCUUUUCUCCUUUCUUGGGAGAACAAAUUUCAUGAAAUCCAACAUAAGCUGUGAGCCCUGGCAUUCCUAAAAUUCCUGUGUAAUAGGAAAGAGGUACAUCGGUGUGCUUGAUUUUGACUAGGUCUUGAGGCAUUUUUAUCAAACUAUACUCUUCCCAUCCAGUAAUUCCAGAAACCAAAUCUCCAGCCUUGAAAUCUGGAUGUCCUGAGUCCACAACUUUAGCAACACCAUAACCAACAAGAACCGAUCCGGGGGUGUAAGAGUUGGUGUAGCUGUGGCCGAGGGGCUUGGACAUCUUGCCCCUCAUGUAGGGAUCGCAGGAGAGGUAGAGAUUCUUCACCAGCACUGCCGUCGAUCCCUCCGGCACCUUGAGAUCGACGGUAGUGGAGGAGAGGACCAUGUCCUCCUCCUUAGGGUAGCCUGUCACGUAGUCCUUGAAGAUGAUCUGCUUGUUGCUCACCUUCUCG
rnacentral:misc_RNA from 1 species